AUUGGGAGGAGAGGAGUGACACAGGCAAAAUGUAGGGCAUACGUGACAGAGAAUCUUUUCUUUCUCUGCUCCCUGGAGAGGUGAAGUAGAAGAAGGACCCUACCUGUUCUGAUGCCCGAUGAAGCCACGGAAAGUUCUAGAAAAACAAGAAACCUGGAAGGGACUGACCCCAAGAAGGUUGAAGUGUCCGUGGCACUGAAGUGACUGGUGUCGCUGGCCUGUGAAACAUCCACAACGAAGACCACACUACUUCAAGGUGGAAAGUGACACACAUAUGCGCACGGAUGAAAACUCAA